rnacentral:rRNA from 1 species
UACGGAGGAUGCAAGCGUUAUCCAGAAUUAUUGGGCGUAAAGGGUCCGCAGGUGGCAGUGUAAGUCUGCUGUCAAAGAAUGAGGCUUAACCUCAUCAAGGCAGUGGAAACUACACAGCUAGAGUACGGUCGGGGUAGAAGGAAUUCCUGGUGUAGCGGUGAAAUGCGUAGAGAUCAGGAAGAACACCGGUGGCGAAAGCGUUCUGCUAGACCUGUACUGACACUGAGGGACGAAAGCUAGGGGAGCGAAUGGG